UGGGGAAUUUUGGACAAUGGGCGAAAGCCUGAUCCAGCAAUGCCGCGUGUGUGAAGAAGGCCUUCGGGUUGUAAAGCACUUUUGUCCGGAAAGAAAUCCUUGGCUCUAAUACAGUCGGGGGAUGACGGUACCGGAAGAAUAAGCACCGGCUAACUACGUGCCAGCAGCCGCGGCAAUACGUAGGGUGCAAGCGUUAAUCGGAAUUACUGGGCGUAAAGCGUGCGCAGGCGGUUUGCUAAGACCGAUGUGAAAUCCCCGGGCUCAACCUGGGAACUGCAUUGGUGACUGGCAGGCUAGAGUAUGGCAGAGGGGGGUAGAAUUCCACGUGUAGCAGUGAAAUGCGUAGAGAUGUGGAGGAAUACCGAUGGCGAAGGCAGCCCCCUGGGCCAAUACUGACGCUCAUGCACGAAAGCGUGGGGAGCAAACAGGAUUAGAUACCCUGGUAGUCCACGCCCUAAACGAUGUCAACUAGUUGUUGGGGAUUCAUUUCCUUAGUAACGUAGCUAACGCGUGAAGUUGACCGCCUGGGGAGUACGGUCGCAAGAUUAAAACUCAAAUGAAUUGACGGGGUCAUAGCUGUUUCCU
rnacentral:rRNA from 1 species